UUCAUCUUAGGGAUGAUCAACCGUUGGAAUAUGGAUUUCGUUUAAGUAGUCCUCAACGGAGCCCUCAGUUUUACCGAUCGAAUUACCAGAGCCUGUCGCCGACGUCCAAAGCUCUCGCUAUAGCUACUGGACAGAAGGAGCUUAUGGAAAUGGUGAACAAUAUGCCGGAGUCGUGUUACGAGUUGUCGUUGAGAGACUUGGUGGAGCAGCCGAUGGCUUUGGGGGAACGAGA
rnacentral:misc_RNA from 1 species